rnacentral:rRNA from 1 species
AGAGUUUGAUCAUGGCUCAGGACGAACGCUGGCGGCGUGCUUAACACAUGCAAGUCGAACGGAAAGGCCCCUUCGGGGGUACUCGAGUGGCGAACGGGUGAGUAACACGUGGGUGAUCUGCCCUGCACUUUGGGAUAAGCCUGGGAAACUGGGUCUAAUACCGAAUAGGACCGCAUGCUUCAUGGUGUGUGGUGGAAAGCUUUUGCGGUGUGGGAUGGGCCCGCGGCCUAUCAGCUUGUUGGUGGGGUAAUGGCCUACCAAGGCGACGACGGGUAGCCGGCCUGAGAGGGUGUCCGGCCACACUGGGACUGAGAUACGGCCCAGACUCCUACGGGAGGCAGCAGUGGGGAAUAUUGCACAAUGGGCGCAAGCCUGAUGCAGCGACGCCGCGUGGGGGAUGACGGCCUUCGGGUUGUAAACCUCUUUCAGUAUCGGCGAAGCUCCAGGAUUUUUCUUGGGGUGACGGUAGGUACAGAAGAAGCACCGGCCAACUACGUGCCAGCAGCCGCGGUAAUACGUAGGGUGCGAGCGUUGUCCGGAAUUACUGGGCGUAAAGAGCUCGUAGGUGGUUUGUCACGUUGUCUGCGAAAACUCACAGCUUAACUGUGGGCGUGCGGGCGAUACGGGCAGACUGGAGUACUGUAGGGGAGACUGGAAUUCCUGGUGUAGCGGUGGAAUGCGCAGAUAUCAGGAGGAACACCGGUGGCGAAGGCGGGUCUCCGGGCAGUAACUGACGCUGAGGAGCGAAAGCGUGGGGAGCGAACAGGAUUAGAUACCCUGGUAGUCCAA